rnacentral:rRNA from 1 species
GUCUACGGCCAUGGUAUCCUGGACAAGCCUGAUCUUGUCUGAUCUUGCAAGCUAAGCAGGGUCAGGCCUGGUUAGUACUUGGUUGGGAGACCACCUAGGAGGACCAGGUGUUGUAGGCA